GAUGGCAUGGUGUAGUGGUUUGAGUGUUGGACUUCAACUCUGGAGACCAGGGUUCAAUUCCUGCUCUGCCAUGA